ACUCCCUAGUGCAUUUUGCUGUCAGAUGCUCUCCUGCUUGUGCGCGCGUGCGCAUACAUGCGCACAUGCACGCUAGCUCGCUCUCUCUCAUUUACCUUAAAGAGAGAUGGAAAAGAAGAGAACCUGCAGGAAGCAGAAAUAAGGCAGUAAACAGAAGCCCGAGACUCCGAGGCAAUAGAGACUGUUUUCAGCGGCAGCAAAGAGUCUGCAGGUUGGAGACCAUCUGGAGGACAUGCCUAUCAGAACUAAGACGGGAAAGAUGAGUAGAAAUUGAUCAGGCCAGUGAAGAGGGUGGACACCUGCCUCCCAGCCAAGCAUUCUACCCCGUGUGUGAGCGAGGGAAUGAAAGCAGGGCCGAACCUGUGGCACAGCCUAUGCCACAACCACAGCAAUGUGAGAUCGGAGCCACAUCUGCAACCUACACCACAGCUCAUGGCAAUGCUGGAUCCUUAACCCACUGAGCAAGACCAGGGAUUGAACCCACAUCCUCAUGGAUACUAAUCGGAUUCGUUACCCCUGAGCCAUGACGGAACUCCAAGAUCCAGUGUUUACUUUACAUGCUUUUUGAGAGAUGCCUUUAAAAAAAAAUCUUAACAUUAUAAAUCAACCACACUUUAAUUAAAAGAAUAAAAAUAAUCUUACUUGGACGUCUAAAAUAUGAAAAAGAGUUGCUCUGGCUAAAAUGGCAGUAAGAGCUGAAGAACCGCUCUUACUCAGCCUCCCUGCACCCAUGGCAUGUGGAAGUUCCUCCCCCAGGGAUCAAACCUGUUCCUCAGCAGUGACAAUGCCGGAUCCUUAACCUGCUGAGCCACAGUGGGAACUCCAGUAUUUAUUACACAGGGAGAAGACAACCAUCUAUGAGCCAAGGAGAGGCUUUGGACAGAUUCUUUCCUCACAGCCCUUAGAAAGAACCAAUCUGCUGCCCUUAAUCUCAGAUUUCUAGCCUCCAGAAAUGUGAGGAAAUACAUGUCUGUUGUUUAAGCCACUCAGUCGUGGUACUUUAUUACAGCAGCCUGAGGAGACUAAUACACCCUCCUUCCCUCUUCGUUCAACAGAGCAGCGGAGUGACCCUGUUAAAACAAAGUCUGUCAGGGAGCAGGAAUUUUCCACUCUACCCUCUUGAGUUUGUGUGGCUGGGCUAAUAACAAAAUUGCCGCAAGAAAGAUGAACAGACAAAAAAAAGUCUUGUCUCUAUGGGGAGUCUCAUAGAGACAAAACCCAAGAAAUGGCCAAAGUGGGCAGCUUUUUCCUUUGUAGACAAAUAAUACGUAUGUGACCAACUGUCAGGACCAAGAAACUUAGGUUUGGGUUAUGCAAUUAGUGAAUAAUCGAAGCAGAGUUUGGGCUGCAGGUAGUAAAUUCAAGAAGUAACAAGGCUUGUUUAUACGGGGUUCUUGCCCCAAGUUCCCUUUCUCUGGUGAUAAGGGUGUCCUUCUACCUCCGGAGGGCAGGCACCUCUCUCUUGAGAGAUGUAUUUCCUGCUUUCAGGGAGACAGAAGAGAGUCAGAGUGUCCUUCUUGCGUUGGUCAUUUUUUUUUUAAUGUUUUUUUGUUCACAUAUUUGCUUUU